UACAGAGGUCCCAAGCGUUGUUCGGAUUCACUGGGCGUAAAGGGUGCGUAGGCGGUCGGGUAAGUCUGGCGUGAAAUCUCCAAGCCUAACUUGGAAACUGCGUUGGAUACUAUCCGGCUCGAGGAAUGGAGGGGAGACUGGAAUACUUGGUGUAGCAGUGAAAUGCGUAGAUAUCAAGUGGAACACCAGUGGCGAAGGCGAGUCUCUGGACAUUUCCUGACGCUGAGGCACGAAAGCGUGGGGAGCAAACAGG
rnacentral:rRNA from 1 species